rnacentral:rRNA from 1 species
AUUGAACGCUGGUGGCAGGCCUAACACAUGCAAGUCGAACGAGUGGCGGACGGGUGAGUAAUGUCUGGGAAACUGCCUGAUGGAGGGGGAUAACUACUGGAAACGGUAGCUAAUACCGCAUACCAUCAGAUGUGCCCAGAGUGGAUUAGCUUGUUGGUGGGGUAACGUCUCCCCAAGGCGACGAUCCCUAGCUGGUCUGACAGGCUGACCAGCCACACUGGAACUGAGACACGGUCCAGACUCCUACGUGAGGCAGCAGUGGGGAAGUUUGCACAAUGGGCGCAAGCCUGAUGCAGCCAUGCCGCGUGUAUGAAGAAGGCCUUCGGGUUGUAAAGUACUUUCAGCGGGGAGGCGUUACCCGCAGAAGAAGCACCGGCUAACUCCGUGCCAGCCGCCGCGGUAAUUC